rnacentral:rRNA from 1 species
CACGUAGGGGGCGAGCGUUGUCCGGAAUCAUUGGGCGUAAAGAGCUCGUAGGCGGCUCAGUAAGUCGGGUGUGAAACCCUCAGGCUCAACCUGGGGACGCCACCCGAUACUGCUGUGGCUAGAGUCCAGUAGGGGAGUGUGGAAUUCCCGGUGUAGCGGUGAAAUGCGCAGAUAUCGGGAGGAACACCAAUGGCGAAGGCAGCUCGCUGGGACGGUACUGACGCUGAGGCGCGAAAGCGUGGGGAGCAAACAGG